UGGGAUAACUACCGGAAACGGUAGCUAAUACCGGAUAAUUCAUGCUGCUGCAUGGCAGCGUGAUGAAAGACGGAGCAAUCUGUCACUUGAGGAUGGGCCUGCGGCGCAUUAGCUAGUUGGUGGGGUAAUGGCCUACCAAGGCGACGAUGCGUAGCCGACCUGAGAGGGUGAUCGGCCACACUGGGACUGAGACACGGCCCAGACUCCUACGGGAGGCAGCAGUAGGGAAUCUUCCGCAAUGGGCGAAAGCCUGACGGAGCAACGCCGCGUGAGUGAUGAAGGUUUUCGGAUCGUAAAGCUCUGUUGCCAGGGAAGAACGUCCUUAAGAGUAACUGCUUAAGGAGUGACGGUACCUGAGAAGAAAGCCCCGGCUAACUACGUGCCAGCAGCCGCGGUAAUACGUAGGGGGCAAGCGUUGUCCGGAAUUAUUGGGCGUAAAGCGCGCGCAGGCGGCUGUUUAAGUCUGGUGUUUAAGCCCGGGGCUCAACCCCGGUUCGCACUGGAAACUGGAUGGCUUGAGUGCAAAAAAGGAGAGUGGAAUUCCACGUGUAGCGGUGAAAUGCGUACAGAUGUGGAGGAACACCAGUGGCGAAGGCGACUCUCUGGGGCUGUAAACUGACGCUGAGGCG
rnacentral:rRNA from 1 species